GAUGAAGAACGUAGCGAAAUGCGAUAAGUAAUGUGAAUUGCAGAAUUCAGUGAAUCAUCGAAUCUUUGAACGCACAUUGCGCCCGUCAGUAUUCUGGCGGGCAUGCCUGUUCGAGCGUCAUUACGCCCCUCAAGUCCCCUGUGGACUUGGUGUUGGGGAUCGGCGAGGCUGGUUUUCCAGCACAGCCGUCCCUUAAAUUAAUUGGCGGUCUCGCCGUGGCCCUCCUCUGCGCAGUAGUAAAACACUCGCAACAGGAGCCCGGCGCGGUCCACUGCCGUAAAACCCCCCAACUUUUUAUAGUUGACCUCGAAUCAGGUAGGACUACCCGCUGAACUUAAGCAUAUCAAUACGCGGAGGA
rnacentral:misc_RNA from 1 species